rnacentral:rRNA from 1 species
CAGCAGCCGCGGGAAAACGGAGGGUGCAAGCGUUAAUCGGAAUUACUGGGCGUAAAGCGCACGCAGGCGGUCUGUCAAGUCAGAUGUGAAAUCCCCGGGCUUAACCUGGGAACUGCAUUUGAAACUGGCAGGCUAGAGUCUUGUAGAGGGGGGUAGAAUUCCAGGUGUAGCGGUGAAAUGCGUAGAGAUCUGGAGGAAUACCGGUGGCGAAGGCGGCCCCCUGGACAAAGACUGACGCUCAGGUGCGAAAGCGUGGGGAGCAAACAGGAUUAGAUACCCCAGUAGUCCCUGUCUCUUAUAC